AGGACGAACGCUGGCGGCGUGCUUAACACAUGCAAGUCGAGCGGUAAGGCUCCUUCGGGAGUACACGAGCGGCGAACGGGUGAGUAACACGUGAGCAAUCUGCCCUUCACAUUGGGAUAACCCCGGGAAACCGGGGCUAAUACCGGAUGCGACCACCGACGGCAUCGUCUGGUGGUGGAAAGUUCCGGCGGUGGGGGAUGAGCUCGCGGCCUAUCAGCUUGUUGGUGGGUAAUGGCCUACCAAGGCUUCGACGGGUAGCCGGCCUGAGAGGGUGACCGGCCACACUGGGACUGAGACACGGCCCAGACUCCUACGGGAGGCAGCAGUGGGGAAUAUUGGACAAUGGGCGAAAGCCUGAUCCAGCAACGCCGCGUGAGGGAUGACGGCCUUCGGGUUGUAAACCCCUUUCAGGAGGACGAAGGUGCGACGGUGAAUAGCCGUUCGCACUGACGGUACCUCCACAAGAAGCCCCGGCUAACUACGUGCCAGCAGCCGC
rnacentral:rRNA from 1 species